GCACGGGCGCAUAGGCCCGCGGAUCGCGCCGCCAUGCCGCUCGCACCCCCCGUCGGUCCGAGCAGCUGCAGAUGGUUCGGUUGGGUGCUGCCUCGCCUCGCAUGCGCACUCCGUCUUGUCGCGCUCGCACCGCGCCACCACCACCACCACCGCCACCGCCACCUCGAGUCGCGAGUUGGGCGCCACCCACUCCACGCCACCGGCCACGCGGCCUAGGCACGUAGCUGCGCCUGCGUGGCCACCCGCCCGCCCGCCGGCGGGGCCAAUAGGCGACCGUGCAUUUCAAAAUUUGAAGACCAGGGCACCAGUCGGUCAAACUCGUAUUCGGAGGAAGAGCUCCCGUUCUCCCCUCCCCCGUUUAAGUCUCCUGCUGCCACCGCUGCCGCCUCGCCUCUCCUCCUCUCUCCCACCGGAAGCGCGGCCCCGGCUGCCUCAACACCUCUCGCCGUCUCCCUCCGGGAGGAGCGGAGCGAAUCGCCGAGGCGGCGGAGGAGGGAGAGGGGGAAGCCGCAGUCGGACUCGGACCGACGACCAUGCCGCUGCCGCUGGCCAAGGCGAGGAGGGGGUUCUCGCCCCAGCCGCCGGCCCGCCCAUCCUCUUCUUCCUCCUCCUCGUCGUGCAGGCUGCAGCUGGAGCAGGAUGUGAAGGAGCUGCAGAGGGCGCUGCGGGAGGAGACGGCGCUGCACGCCGUCCUCGAGGGCGCGCUCGAGCGCGCCGCCGUCACCCUCGCCGACAUGGCAUACCUCCCCACCAACGCGCAGGAGCUGCUCUCCAACAUCUGCAUCCUGGAGACCGCCGUCACGAAGCUGGAGGAGGAGAUGGUGUCCCUGCAUUUCCAGCUCAUCCAGGAGAGGAACGAGAGGAGGCUCGUCGAGUACCGACUCAAGCAGAUGCCGCCGUCAGCUUGCUCCUGCUACUCUGGGAAACUCGGACCGGAUGAUACCACGGGCGAAAAAUGUAGUCAAGGGGAGAAGGUUUAUGCUCGUGCUGUCUUGCACGAGCAAGUUAUGAAAUUACAGAGGCAGAUCUCUGUUAAAAGCUUAGUGAAUCCUAAUCAGCUUUCGGAGGACAUCGUCCGCUGCAUGAGGAACAUCUUUAUUUCCCUAUCAGAUUCCUGCAGAGACUCCUCAAGGAAUUCCUCCAUGGAGAAUCAGUGGUCUAUUCCAUCUCCCAGCGGGAAUUAUUCAAUUUCUGCGUUCUGGUCUCUAUCGGAACCGUCUUCCAUAUCUUCUUGGGUACAGAGCCCUCAAGUUGAUUUGAACUACAACAAUAAUUUAUUAGCUUCGGAGACCGUUUUUGACCCCUACAAAGCUCGUGAGAAGCUUAGCUGGGCUGACAUAGGUAGCUACAGUGCAGCGGCUGAAGUUUCAUGGAUGUCAGUUGGGAAAAAACAACUUGAAUAUGCUGCCGAGUCACUAUGCAAAUUCAGGUUAUUCAUUGAGCAGCUGGCAGAAAUAAACCCUGUUCACCUCAAUGAGGAUGCAAGGUUGGCAUUUUGGAUCAACCUAUACAACGCGUUGAUGAUGCACGCUUAUCUUGCUUAUGGUGUUCCACGGAGUGACAUGAAACUUUUUUCAUUGAUGCAAAAGGCCGCAUAUACAAUUGGGGGGCACUCAUUCAGUGCUGCAUUUAUUGAAUAUGUGAUUCUGAAGAUGAAACCACCAAGUCAUAGGCCACAGAUGGCCCUGCUUCUUGCCCUUCAGAAGAUGAAGGUACCUGAGGAGCAGAAAAAAUUCUGCAUUGAGGCACCUGAGCCACUUUUGACGUUUGCUCUCAGCUGUGGAAUGUAUUCUUCUCCUGCAGUGAAGAUAUACACAGCAAACAAUGUGAGGGAAGAACUUCAAGAUGCACAGCGUGAUUUCAUUAGGGCAUCAGUAGGAGUGAGUCGUAAAGGGAAGCUUCUGGUCCCUAAGAUGCUGCACUGUUUUGCCCGUGGUUUUGUUGACGACAACAGCUUCCCUAUUUGGAUAUCGCAUAUCUUACCUCAGCAGCAAGCUACAUUUGUUGAUCACUGCGUGUCUCAAAGGCGGCAAAGUCUCCUGGGCAACCGUACUUUCGGCAUCAUUCCAUUUGAUUCUCGGUUUCGCUACCUGUUCCUACCAGAUACGGGAUUGAUAAAUUAACUUCCAUCAAUAUUCAGAUUCUUCCUUUCCCAGAUAACCUAAUUGGUAAACUAUACUGCUGCCAACAGGCAACAGCGGAACAUAAACUACCCAAAUCUUCUGUUCCAAGCCCUGGCAGAGAGUUGAAACAAGAGGAUUAUCUUGAGAAGCAAGCUCAUACUAAGGGAUUAUGGUAGUCUCAACUUUGAGAACGCACAGCAACUGGAUUGAGUUUUGUAACUUUGGAAGUAAGAUGUAUAUUAUUGGAAUGUAUUAAUAGUUUCAUCCGCCUCAAGCCCUCAACAUCCUGUCGAGUUUCCUGAAAGAUCUGUACAUAUCUCCUACUUCCAAAUAAAAAUUGGGUUCAUCAUGGUUUUUGUUUACUCAUUA